rnacentral:miRNA from 1 species
CACUGAAACAUAGAUCACUU